rnacentral:rRNA from 1 species
ACGAACGCUGGCGGCGUGCUUAACACAUGCAAGUCGAACGAUGAAGCACCAGCUUGCUGGUGUGGAUUAGUGGCGAACGGGUGAGUAACACGUGAGUAACCUGCCCCUCACUCUGGGAUAAGCCUGGGAAACUGGGUCUAAUACUGGAUACGACCGAUCUCCGCAUGGAGUGUUGGUGGAAAGUUUUUGUGGUGGGGGAUGGACUCGCGGCCUAUCAGCUUGUUGGUGGGGUAAUGGCCUACCAAGGCGACGACGGGUAGCCGGCCUGAGAGGGCGACCGGCCACACUGGGACUGAGACACGGCCCAGACUCCUACGGGAGGCAGCAGUGGGGAAUAUUGCACAAUGGGCGAAAGCCUGAUGCAGCGACGCCGCGUGAGGGAUGACGGCCUUCGGGUUGUAAACCUCUUUCACCAGGGACGAAGCUAACGUGACGGUACCUGGAGAAGAAGCACCGGCUAACUACGUG